ACCUCAGUAACGGCGAGUGAAGCGGUAACAGCUCAAAUUUGAAAUCUGGGUCUUUCAGGCUCCGAGUUGUAAUUUGUAGAAGAUGCUUCGGGUGCGGCUCCGGUCUAAGUUCCUUGGAACAGGACGUCAUAGAGGGUGAGAAUCCCGUAUGUGAUCGGCCGCUUGCGCCCAUGUGAAGCUCUUUCGACGAGUCGAGUUGUUUGGGAAUGCAGCUCCAAAUGGGUGGUAUAUUUCAUCUAAAGCUAAAUAUUGGCCAGAGACCGAUAGCGCACAAGUAGAGUGAUCGAAAGAUGAAAAGCACUUUGGAAAGAGAGUUAAACAGUACGUGAAAUUGUUGAAAGGGAAGCGCUUGCAACCAGACUUGCGUGUUGUUGAUCAUCCGGGGUUCUCCCCGGUGCACUCGACCUCACUCAGGCCAGCAUCGGUUUCGGUGGUUGGAUAAAGGCCUUGGGAAUGUAGCUCCUCUCGGGGAGUGUUAUAGCCCUCGGUGCAAUGCAGCCUACCGGGACCGAGGACCGCGCUUCGGCUAGGAUGCUGGCGUAAUGGUUGUAAGCGACCCGUCUUGAAACACGGACCAAGGAGUCUAACAUCUAUGCGAGUGUUUGGGUGUCAAACCCAUACGCGUAAUGAAAGUGAACGGAGGUGAGAACCCUUAAGGGUGCAUCAUCGACCGAUCCUGAUGUCUUCGGAUGGAUUUGAGUAAGAGCAUAGCUGUUGGGACCCGAAAGAUGGUGAACUAUGCCUGAAUAGGGUGAAGCCAGAGGAAACUCUGGUGGAGGCUCGCAGCGGUUCUGACGUGCAAAUCGAUCGUCAAAUUUGGGUAUAGGGGCGAAAGACUAAUCGAACCAUCUAGUAGCUGGUUCCUGCCGA
rnacentral:rRNA from 1 species